GACGAAGGGGGCUAGCGUUGUUCGGAAUUACUGGGCGUAAAGCGCGUGUAGGCGGUUGCCCAAGUCGGGUGUGAAAGCCUUGAGCUCAACUCAAGAAAUGCACUCGGUACUGGGUGACUAGAGGACCGGAGAGGAUAGUGGAAUUCCCAGUGUAGCGGUGAAAUACGUAGAGAUUGGGAAGAACACCAGUGGCGAAGGCGGCUAUCUGGACGGUUUCUGACGCUAAGACGCGAAAGCGUGGGGAGCAAACAGG
rnacentral:rRNA from 1 species